UACGGGGGGGGCAAGCGUUGUUCGGAAUUACUGGGCGUAAAGGGCUCGUAGGUGGCCAACUAAGUCAGACGUGAAAUCCCCAGGCUCAACUUGGGAACUGCGUCUGAUACUGGAUGGCUUGAAUUCGGGAGAGGGAUGCAGAAUUCCAGGUGUAGCGGUGAAAUGCGUAGAUAUCUGGAGGAAUACCGGUGGCGAAGGCGGCAUCCUGGACCGAGAUUGGCACUGAUGAGCGAAAGCUAGGGGAGCAAACGGG
rnacentral:rRNA from 1 species